CCCUUAGAUGUCCUGGGCCGCACGCGCGUUACACUGAUGCAUUCAACGAGCUUAUAACCUUGGCCGAGAGGCCUGGGCAAUCUUGUUAACGUGCAUCGUGAUAGGGAUAGAUUAUUGAAAUUGUUAAUCUUGAACGAGGAAUUCCUAGUAAACGCAGAUCAUCAAUCUGCAUUGAUUACGUCCCUGCCCUUUGUACACACCGCCCGUCGCACCUACCGAUUGGAUGGUCCGGUGAAGCCUCGGGAUUGUGGUUCUUGCCGCUUUAUUGUGGCGUGACCGCGAGAACUUGUCUAAACCUUAUCAUCUAGAGGAAGGUGAAGUCGUAACA
rnacentral:rRNA from 1 species